rnacentral:rRNA from 1 species
UACGUAGGGUGCGAGCGUUGUCCGGAAUCACUGGGCGUAAAGGGCGCGUAGGCGGCCUGAUAAGUCGGGGGGUGAAAUCCUGUGGCUUAACCACAGGGCUGCCUCCGAGACUGUCGGGCUCGAGCACAGUAGAGGCAGGUGGAAUUCCCGGUGUAGUGGUGGAAUGCGUAGAUAUCGGGAGGAACACCAGUGGCGAAGGCGGUUGCCUGGGGCUUUGCUGACGCUGAUGCGCCGAAAGCGUGGGGAGCGAUCCGG